rnacentral:rRNA from 1 species
GACGAACGCUGGCGGCGUGCUUAACACAUGCAAGUCGAACGGAAAGGCCCUGCUUUUGUGGGGUGCUCGAGUGGCGAACGGGUGAGUAACACGUGAGUAACCUGCCCUUGACUUUGGGAUAACUUCAGGAAACUGGGGCUAAUACCGGAUAGGAGCUCCUGCGGCAUGGUGGGGGUUGGAAAGUUUCGGCGGUUGGGGAUGGACUCGCGGCUUAUCAGCUUGUUGGUGGGGUAGUGGCUUACCAAGGCUUUGACGGGUAGCCGGCCUGAGAGGGUGACCGGCCACAUUGGGACUGAGAUACGGCCCAGACUCCUACGGGAGGCAGCAGUGGGGAAUAUUGCACAAUGGGCGGAAGCGUGAUGCAGCAACGCCGCGUGCGGGAUGACGGCCUUCGGGUUGUAAACCGCUUUCGCCUGUGACGAAGCGUGAGUGACGGUAAUGGGUAAAGAAGCACCGGCUAACUACGU